rnacentral:rRNA from 1 species
CCAGGGCUACACACGUGCUACAAUGGCGCGUACAAAGGGCUGCAAGCUAGCGAUAGUGAGCGAAUCCCAGAAAGCGCGUCGUAGUCCGGAUUGGAGUCUGCAACUCGACUCCAUGAAGUCGGAAUCGCUAGUAAUCGCGAAUCAGAAUGUCGCGGUGAAUACGUUCCCGGGCCUUGUACACACCGCCCGUCACACCAUGGGAGUGGGUUGCACCAGAAGUAGAUAGCUUAACCUUCGGGAGGGCGUUUACCACGGUGUGAUUCAUGACUGGGGUGAAGUCGUAACAAGG